rnacentral:sRNA from 1 species
UUUUUUUCUUCUUCUU